GACGAACGCUGGCGGCGUGCUUAACACAUGCAAGUCGAACGCUGAAGCUUGGUGCUUGCACUGGGUGGAUGAGUGGCUAACGGGUGAGUAAUAAGUGAGUAACCUGCCCUUGACUCUGGGAUAAGCCUGGGAAACUGGGUCUAAUACUGGAUACUACAUGUCACCGCAUGGUGGUGUGUGGAAAGGGUUUUAGUGGUUUUGGAUGGGCUCACGGCCUAUCAGCUUGUUGGUGGGGUAAUGGCCCACCAAGGCGACGACGGGUAGCCGGCCUGAGAGGGUGACCGGCCACACUGGGACUGAGACACGGCCCAGACUGCUACGGGAGGCAGCAGUGGGGAAUAUUGCACAAUGGGCGGAAGCCUGAUGCAGCGACGCCGCGUGAGGGAUGACGGCCUUCGGGUUGUAAACCUCUUUCAGCACGGAAGAAGCGAAAGUGACGGUACGUGCAGAAGAAGCGCCGGCUAACUACGUG
rnacentral:rRNA from 1 species